rnacentral:misc_RNA from 1 species
GAUGAAGAACGCAGCGAAAUGCGAUAAGUAAUGUGAAUUGCAGAAUUCAGUGAAUCAUCGAAUCUUUGAACGCACAUUGCGCCCGCCAGUAUUCUGGCGGGCAUGUCUGUCUGAGCGUCAUUUCAACCCUCAUGCCCCUAGGGCGUGGUGUUGGGGAUCGGCCAAAGCCCGCGAGGGACGGCCGGCCCCUAAAUCUAGUGGCGGACCCGUCGUGGCCUCCUCUGCGAAGUAGUGAUAUUCCGCAUCGGAGAGCGACGAGCCCCUGCCGUUAAACCCCCAACUUUCCAAGGUUGACCUCAGAUCAGGUAGGAAUACCCGCUGAACUUAAGCAUAUCAAUAAGCGGAGGA